rnacentral:rRNA from 1 species
AGAGUUUGAUCCUGGCUCAGAAUGAACGCUGGCGGCGUGCUUAACACAUGCAAGUCGAACGUGAUCCGGAGCUUGCUCCGGUGAAAGUGGCGCACGGGUGAGUAACGCGUGGAUAAUCUGCCCUGGUAUCUGGGAUAACAUCUCGAAAGGGGUGCUAAUACCGGAUAAGCCUACGGGAUCCUCGGAUUCUGCAGGAAAAGGUGGCCUCUAUUUAUAAGCUACCGUAUCAGGAUGAGUCCGCGUACCAUUAGCUAGUUGGUGGGGUAAUGGCCACCAAGGCUACGAUGGUUAGCUGGUCUGAGAGGAUGAUCAGCCACACUGGAACUGAGACACGGUCCAGACUCCUACGGGAGGCAGCAGUGGGGAAUUUUGCGCAAUGGGGGCAACCCUGACGCAGCAACGCCGCGUGAGUGAAGAAGGCCUUUGGGUCGUAAAGCUCUGUCAAUCGGGAAGAAGUUAUGGGAGUCGAAUAGGCUUUCAUAUUGACGGUACCGGUGAAGGAAGCAUCGGCUAACUCCGUGCCAGCAGCCGCGGUAAUACGGGGGAUGCAAGCGUUAUUCGGAAUUAUUGGGCGUAAAGGGCGCGUAGGCGGUUUUGUCGGUCAGAUGUGAAAGCCCAGGGCUCAACCCUGGACGUGCAUUUGAAACAGCAAGACUUGAGUACGGGAGAGGAAAGCGGAAUUCCUGGUGUAGAGGUGAAAUUCGUAGAUAUCAGGAGGAACACCGAUGGCGAAGGCAGCUUUCUGGACCGAUACUGACGCUGAGGCGCGAAGGCGUGGGUAGCGAACAGGAUUAGAUACCCUGGUAGUCC